rnacentral:rRNA from 1 species
UACGUAGGGGGCAAGCGUUGUCCGGAUUUAUUGGGCGUAAAGAGCGUGUAGGCGGCCAUACAGGUCCGUUGUGAAAACUCGAGGCUCAACCUCGAGACGUCGAUGGAAACCGUAUGGCUAGAGUCCGGAAGAGGAGAGUGGAAUUCCUGGUGUAGCGGUGAAAUGCGCAGAUAUCAGGAAGAACACCCGUGGCGAAGGCGGCUCUCUGGGACGGUACUGGACGCUGAGACGCGAAAGCGUGGGGAGCGAACAGG